CCUACGGGGGGCUGCAGUGGGGAAUAUUGGACAAUGGGCGAAAGCCUGAUCCAGCAAUGCCGCGUGAGUGAAGAAGGCCUUAGGGUUGUAAAGCUCUUUCGCCUGCGACGAUGAUGACGGUAGCAGGAGAAGAAGCCCCGGCUAAUUCCGUGCCAGCAGCCGCGGUAAUACGGAAGGGGCUAGCGUUGUUCGGAAUUACUGGGCGUAAAGCGCGCGUAGGCGGCUUGGCAAGUGAGGCGUGAAAGUCCUGGGCUCAACCUGGGGACGGCGCUUCA
rnacentral:rRNA from 1 species